rnacentral:lncRNA from 1 species
UGAUUGACAGCGAUGUCUGUAACCACCUGAUAGUGGGCCGUUCAGAGCCGUGCGGAGUUUGUUACGGAGAGUAGUGGCAUCAGGGGUCGUUUAGGGCCACGUGAAGUUUGUUACGGAGAGUGGAGUGGUGUCCGUUGUCGCGACUUGCCAGAGAGUGGUAGAGCCUGGAGGGUGGAGUGGUGUCUGUUAUCGCGACUUGCC